rnacentral:rRNA from 1 species
UGGGGAAUAUUGGACAAUGGGCGAAAGCCUGAUCCAGCCAUGCCGCGUGAGUGACGAAGGCCUUAGGGUUGUAAAGCUCUUUUGGCGGGGAAGAUAAUGACGGUACCCGCAGAAUAAGCUCCGGCUAACUUCGUGCCAGCAGCCGCGGUAAUACGAAGGGAGCUAGCGUUGUUCGGAAUCACUGGGCGUAAAGCGCACGUAGGCGGAUUUGUCAGUCAGGGGUGAAAUCCCGGGGCUCAACCUCGGAACUGCCCUUGAUACAGCAAGUCUUGAGUUCGAGAGAGGUGGGUGGAAUUCCUAGUGUAGAGGUGAAAUUCGUAGAUAUUAGGAAGAACACCGGUGGCGAAGGCGGCCCACUGGCUCGAUACUGACGCUGAGGUGCGAAAGCGUGGGGAGCAAACAGGAUUAGAUACCCGGGUAGUCCCUGAGCGGGCUGGCAAGGCGCAU